CCAAAGAUUCUUAAUCAUAUCAUAGAGUAUUCUCCCUCAAACGGUUUGAAGGUUAUAGAUCCAUUGUUGCGCAUUCACUUGCCUCCAUGGCUAAGUAGCUUAACCCCAACGAUGCCGUAGACACGCGCGGAUGGGGUGACUUUGACAUAAUCAAAGAUCAAGGACUUAACCACAAGACAGCUGUGAUGCCUCAAGUCAAAUGACUACUUUGCAUUAUCCCAACCAUGAGUUCUCAUGUGACAUGAAUAUGAGAACUCUUCGUUGAUC
rnacentral:lncRNA from 1 species